GAUGAAGAACGUAGUGAAAUGCGAUAAGUAGUGUGAAUUGCAGAAUUCAGUGAAUCAUCGAAUCUUUGAACGCACAUUGCGCCCGCCAGUAUUCUGGCGGGCAUGCCUGUUCGAGCGUCAUUACAACCCUCAGGCCCCCGGGCCUGGCGUUGGGGAUCGGCGGAGCCCCCCGUGGGCACACGCCGUCCCCCAAAUACAGUGGCGGUCCCGCCGCAGCUUCCAUCGCGUAGUAGCUAACACCUCGCGACUGGAGAGCGGCGCGGCCACGCCGUAAAACACCCAACUCUUCUGAAGUUGACCUCGAAUCAGGUAGGAAUACCCGCUGAACUUAAGCAUAUCAAUAAGCGGAGGA
rnacentral:misc_RNA from 1 species